rnacentral:lncRNA from 1 species
UUUCUGUGCCCUGGCUGGCAGGGAACUGGUCACCUCAGCAGCUGAACUCCUCCUCCAGCCCUGCGGCUCCCUCCUCUCCAACAGGGACCCUCCUGGUGAAAGAAAAAGAGACUUGGUAAUUCACUGAGCAUCACCCAAGACCGGGCGCAGACCCGCACCCUGGGGUAUAAAAGACGUAGUACUCACUUCAUUCCUGUUUCACAGAUGCACAGACUUACUCUUGGAGAGGCUCCUCCCAAAAGUCACCCAGCUGAUUUUCAUCCACUUGGCUCCCCAAGUUGCUGCUCGACCGCUCUCUGACCUGGAUUCACUGAGGACACAUCAGGGCCUUUGCCACGGGGUCCAUGGAGUGGCCGGAGCCCGGGGCUGGGUGAGUGUGGGGUGGGUCUGAAGGGGAGGAUGUGCAUCUAGAGACCAGGCCAGCCCCUGCAGGAUUUUCUGAUGUCAAAUCGCCUGUCCUGUGCCUGAGCCCCAUCGCCUUAGCAGAAUGAGGACACGCGCCUCCCCUGGGCUU